rnacentral:lncRNA from 1 species
UAAGUGUUAGUAAUUCAAAUGGCUACUUUUCUUUACUAUCCAAUCAUCCAUCCAUGAAUGUUGGCUGAAAUCUCUACCGAAUUAAACCACAAAUAAGGAUGAAGCCCUCCCAAAAAUACAUAGACUCAUACUCUAGGUAAACAUUAGACAUAGAUUUAGGGAGAAGACGAAAGCUUCUGUUCAAGUUGUUCCGGAGCGUGGCCGUCAUUUGAGUCUUGUUUAAGGCGUUCCCGAGAGAGGCGAUCACAAAGUUGUUUGACUAGGUAACUUUUUUUAAGGUGGUUUAUGCUGUUAGUACGAUUGUUAGACAUGAAGCUGUUAGGGAACGGGUAGAGAAACUUUGACAAGACGUGACGAAUUUAGAUGAUUCGUUUAUUUAUUUUUCUAUACAUAAAGGUUCGUUUAUGACUUUGUUUCUAUGUACGACGAGUAACACCCAUUUUUUUUAUAUACUGAAAUCAUUUUUAUUAAUGGUUUUAUAAUGUAAACAUACGACUGGGAGUUUCCGCUGCGAAAGAAAUUAUUGACAUCAAAUAUUUUAUUAAAGAAAAUGUGGGGUGUUACAAAAUGUGUGGUCCAGAUUGCUUCACAAGUUUUUCAAAUAGGGUGUACUUCUCUUAGUGAACACUAGUGUAUUUGUGAACUAAGUGAACAAAUCCUAACCAUUGAUUUACAUCAUCAAAUCGUAAGAUACAUUAGUGUAUUUCCAUCAUCAAAUCCUGACCAUUGACUAACACUUGUGUAUUGAUAAUCAAGGGCUACGAUUAGUUCACAAUCAAGGGGGUUGUUCACAAAUGAACCUGACUGUAUAUAUAUAUAUAGGUACGAGAUCAGGAGAAAACGCCCUAAAGUGUGAGAACUGUGAGAACACGGAUCCUGGCCCAACACGUGGCACGGGGCGCUAAUUGAUAUGCAGGGGUACGAUUGUCCUUUUAUACAUUCCCUCCUUAUUCGCGUUAUAAAUCUGUUUCAAAUUAAAACUCCAAAGAUUUCGUGUUAGCUGUUACCUCCUUUCCAAGCUUUCUCAGAUCUAUGGCGUUUAACGUGGAUUCUGUACAACAAAGUAAAAUUCGAUGACGUUUCAUAUUUUUGUUCCAGCAAAUCAUGCAACAAAUAUGACGUUUUGUUCUUUUUAUGCUUGUUUCAUUGUUCUUUUUAAAUUAAUAUUUUCAUAAUGUGUUGUAUGCUUUUCAAUGGCGUUGUUCAUGUAUCCAAUUUAUUCGCGUUUUCAUUG